ensembl:misc_RNA Y_RNA Y RNA
GGCUGGUCUGAGGGUAAUGGAUUAUUCAGAACUUAUUAAUAUUACUGUCACUAAAGUUGGUAUACAACUCUCCCACUGCUAAAUUUUACUGGCUUUAA